GGGGAAUAUUGGACAAUGGGCGCAAGCCUGAUCCAGCCAUGCCGCGUGAGUGAUGACGGCCCUAGGGUUGUAAAGCUCUUUCACCGGUGAAGAUAAUGACGGUAACCGGAGAAGAAGCCCCGGCUAACUUCGUGCCAGCAGCCGCGGUAAUACGAAGGGGGCUAGCGUUGUUCGGAAUUACUGGGCGUAAAGCGCACGUAGGCGGAUAUUUAAGUCAGGGGUGAAAUCCCGGGGCUCAACCCCGGAACUGCCUUUGAUACUGGGGAUCUGGAGUAUGGAAGAGGUAAGUGGA
rnacentral:rRNA from 1 species